GCCGGGUGUGGUGGUGCACGUCUGUAAUCCCAGCAGCUGGGGAGGCUGAGUCAGGAGGAUCGGAAGUUCAAAGCCAGCUUCAGCAACUGAGUGAGGCCCUUAAGCAACUCAGUGAGGCCCUGUCUCUA
rnacentral:sRNA from 1 species